AGAGAAUCUUCACGUCUGGUCCAUACUGCAGCAAAACUGAUGGAUGCCCUGAACAAAAUGUGUAAUGGACCCAUACUAGCUUUAGGCACAUUUUAGCACAUUUUCUACAGUGCACCAUUAUUCUAAACCAGGGGGGUUCGCAAUCUGGGACUCAAGGAUCCCUGAACCUGCACAUUUUCCAUCUCUCCCUGCUCUUUCAUAAGCUGAUCUGCUAAUUCAGAUUGCACAGCCAAUCAACUCCUAACAGACACCUGAAUUAGCAGGAAGAUAUGGAAAAUGUGCAGGUCCAGGGGUCCUUGAGAACCAGAUUGAGAACCCCUGCUCUAACCUAUUCCAAACAUGACUGUGAGCCAACUAGGACUGGCUGAUAUGGUAAAAAAUAAAUAAAUAUUUUUUGCCAUUUAUUUUACAAAAACACUGCAAUGACUGUUGCAUUUUCUUUGAGUUCUAUUUAGCUGCAUUUAAUGUUUUCUGGUCAACUUCACUUUGUUUAUUAAUACAAAUCCAUGUCCUGCCAUGCCAUGACCUGCAACACAUCCCCCCCAAAAGUUGGAACACUAAAGCAUUUACCACUUUGUAAUGCUGACAGACGUUCUCACAACACUCCUUGCACAGGCCUUCAAUACUUAAGUGGAGUUGCACUUUUGUAUUAAAUUAAAUUUUUUUAUUGUAUUUAUGUAUGUAUUUUAUUGCUUUUUGUAUUUUUAUACCAUUUUAUUCUGUAUCUGAAGCAUUUUGGGCAGCUUUGGUUGUUGCAAAUGUGCUAUAUAAAUACAUUGGACUUUGACAAUACAAAAGGUGUUUUUACACUGAGGACACCAAGUGAUGAAGAGUUUCAGGUGUUAUUUUGUCCAUACACUUCAAUUCUGCAGCCAUGUCCUUGUAAUGUGUGCAGAAUGUGGCUGUUCAUGGUCUUGUAAAAAAAAAAAAAAAAAAUGCAUAUACUGCCCUGAAAAGGAUGUCAUCUUGAAGGCAGCGUAUGUUGCUCUAUUGCUCAGUGUACUUUUUUGUAUCAAUGCUGCCAUCACAGAAGGGUAAAUUACCUUUGGAAAAGGCAUGGAUGUAACACCAGACAACGACAGACCCUGGCUUUUGGACUUGUUGCUGACAACGCUGUGGAUGGUCCUUUCCAUCUUUGGUCCAGAGCAUAAAGUGUCCAUUUCUUCAGAAAAAUAAAAGAUCUGGAAUACUAAUUUGUCUGACCACAGUUCACGUUUCAACUUUGUAAUGGUCCAAACCCAGAUGCCUCCAAUCCUAAACAAGAAGAUGGCACUUCUGGACAAAGUCAACAUAAGGCUUCUUUUUUGCCCAAUAAUGUGUUAAGUGGUAUUUGUGAAUGUAACUGCCCAUUGUAGUGCUCCACAAGGGGUUCCCAAAGUAAUCCCAUGUGGUUAUAUCAGCUACUGAUGAAUGACUGUUCUUGAUGCAGUACUGCCUGGGGGAUUGGAGCUCACAGGUGUUCAGUUUAGACCGGGACCCUUGUCCUUUAAGCAAUGAAAUUCCUCCAGACUCUUGGAAUCGUUUAAUAUUAUGCACUGCAGAGGGAGAAAUAUGGAAAUCCUUUCAAACCUUUUUGUUUUUUGAGGAACCUUGUUUUCAACAUUUAUAAUUUCUUAUGCAUUUGUUGACAAACUGGAGAUCCUCUGCCCAUGUUUAUUCCUCAAAUACUUAGCCUGUCAUGGAUACUGCUUUUGUACCAAACCAUGAAUAUAAUCACUUGGUGGUGGUAAUAUAUUUAUAAUAUUACUAUUAUUAUUACCACCUCAUUACUAGCCCUAAAUUUCCAUAGUCCCAACUUUUUAUGCUUUGUGG